rnacentral:rRNA from 1 species
UACGAAGGGUGCAAGCGUUACUCGGAAUUACUGGGCGUAAAGGGUGCGUAGGUGGUUGUUUAAGUCUGUUGUGAAAGCCCCGGGCUCAACCUGGGAAUGGCAAUGGAUACUGGACAGCUAGAGUGCGGUAGAGGGUAGUGGAAUUCCCGGUGUAGCAGUGAAAUGCGUAGAGAUCGGGGAGGAACACCAGUGGCGAAGGCGGCUACCUGGACCAGCGCUGACACUGAAGCACGAAAGCGUGGGGAGCAAACAGG